rnacentral:rRNA from 1 species
AAUACGUUCCCGGGCCUUGUACACACCGCCCGUCAAGUCACGAAAGUCGGUAACACCCGAAGCCGGUGGCCUAACCCGUAAGGGGAGGAGCCGUCGAAGGUGGGACUGGCGAUUGGGACU